rnacentral:rRNA from 1 species
UACGUAGGUGGCGAGCGUUGUCCGGAUUUACUGGGCGUAAAGAGCGCGCAGGCGGCUGGUCAAGUCCGAUGUGAAAGCUCCCGGCUUAACUGGGAAAUUGCAUCGGAAACUGAUCGGCUGGAAGGUGGGAGAGGGUAGCGGAAUUCCCGGUGUAGUGGUGAAAUGCGUAGAUAUCGGGAGGAAUACCAGUGGCGAAGGCGGCUGCCUGGCCUGUUCUUGACGCUGAGGCGCGAAAGCUGGGGGAGCAAACGGG